UUUUGUGCAGACCAAUUGCCAACAUCAUGGUGUAGAAUUUGAAGCUGCCAAAUCAGAAGAGAGAGCUGCACGUAAGUUGGUUAGGUCAAACCGUGCUGAAAUUGAGCAUCUUCAAACUGCAAUUAAUAGAGUGAAGAAUGCAAUUUCUGUCGAGGAGAUAGAUGCAAGGAUAUGUAGCAUGGAACACAUGAUAGAGCAUGAAACUCUUCCUUUAAAGGAGGAAAA